rnacentral:rRNA from 1 species
AGAGUUUGAUCAUGGCUCAGAUUGAACGCUGGCGGAAUGCUUUACACAUGCAAGUCGAACGGCAGCACGGGGCAACCUGGUGGCGAGUGGCGAACGGAUGAGUAAUACAUCGGAACGUGCCCAAUCGUGGGGAUAACGUAGCGAAAGUUACGCUAAUACCGCAUACGAUCUACGGAUGAAAGCGGGGGAUCGCAAGACCUCGCGCGAAUGGAGCGGCCGAUGUCAGAUUAGGUAGUUGGUGGGGUAAAGGCUCACCAAGCCAACGAUCUGUAGCUGGUCUGAGAGGACGACCAGCCACACUGGAACUGAGACACGGUCCAGACUCCUACGGGAGGCAGCAGUGGGGAAUUUUGGACAAUGGGCGCAAGCCUGAUCCAGCCAUUCCGCGUGCAGGAUGAAGGCCUUCGGGUUGUAAACUGCUUUUGUACGGAACGAAAAGGUCCUGGUUAAUACCUGGGGCUCAUGACGGUACCGUAAGAAUAAGCACCGGCUAACUACGUG